GACGUGAUCUGCAGACUCAGUACUCGGUGUAGAGUCUGUGUGAUUCAGAAGAGCAGCUACAUCUGAAUACUGGGUCAGUGGAGACGUCACACGCUAC